AGAGCGAACGCUGGCGGCAUGCUUAACACAUGCAAGUCGCACGGGCAGGGGAAACCCUGUCAGUGGCGGACGGGUGAGUAACGCGUAGGUAUCUAUCCUUGGGUGGGGGACAACCGUGGGAAACUACGGCUAAUACCGCAUGAUGACUGAGGUCCAAAGCUUGUGAGAGCGCCUGGGGCGGAGCCUGCGUACGAUUAGCUAGUUGGUGGGGUAAAGGCCUACCAAGGCUGCGAUCGUUAGCUGGUCUGAGAGGAUGAUCAGCCACAUUGGGACUGAGACACGGCCCAAACUCCUACGGGAGGCAGCAGUGGGGAAUAUUGGACAAUGGGCGCAAGCCUGAUCCAGCAAUGCCGCGUGUGUGAAGAAGGUCUUCGGAUUGUAAAGCACUUUCGACGGGGACGAUGAUGACGGUACCCGUAGAAGAAGCCCCGGCUAACUUCGCGCCAGCAGCCGC
rnacentral:rRNA from 1 species